rfam:Ovis aries breed Texel chromosome 6, whole genome shotgun sequence.
UCCCUGGUAGCUCAGAGGUUAAAGCAUCUGCCUGCAAUGCGGGAGACCCGGGUUUGAUCCCUGGGUUGGGAA